ACGUCGACACCUACGGAGGCAGCAGUGGGGAAUAUUGCACAAUGGGGGAAACCCUGAUGCAGCGACGCCGCGUGAGCGAAGAAGUAUUUCGGUAUGUAAAGCUCUAUCAGCAGGGAAGAAACUGACGGUACCUGACUAAGAAGCACCGGCUAAAUACGUACCAGCAGCCGCGGUAAUCUGAGCGGGCUGGCAAGGC
rnacentral:rRNA from 1 species